AGUCGUCCCAAGUUGCAACGUUCUUGGCACCGAGCUUGAGCUGGUGGUCUCCGAACAGGAUUCCCAGCGACUGCACCCACGUAAAGUCGCGCUUGAGGCCCGGGCCGCUCUUGGACUUUCCGAUGAAGUGGGCGUUUACGUGGAGAUUGGCGUCGGAGACAAUGCAGAAGUCCUGGUCCCUCUUGCCGUGGAAGUAGAAGACGCUUCCAUCGCCACCGACGAAGCGGGGGUCCUGGCAGACCGAUCCUGGCCUGUUACACCUCCGGACAUCUGCGAGACAAGGCGCAAAGAAGAAGAAGCCACGAUCAAAGUCGAUUCUUCGUGAAGCUAGUGGAGCAAGCGUUGCAAUUGACGCUGCAUUGAUUGGGACACCUCCUGGGACAGGGAAGGACGAGAUCGAAGCACCAGCGGUUCGGGUUUGCAGUGCAAACUACUUGGGCGGCCUGCGCUCCUGGCAAGAGCUGGAUCACAGCGGCGAGGCAGCAGGCUCCAAAGACCAGAAGGAACUUCGCAAGCUCCAUCGCCAGAAGCAAAGCUAGGAAGAAGAAGCAAAGAACGAACGAAGCGUCUCUUGCCGCGAGACUUUGCUUGGCUGCUGGCCCAGAUUUAUAUUAAGCACUCGCAUUACGCGAAAAUCAGGGAUUAAACAAGGCGAGCAACUUGACGUAAUGCCACA